GGCGAUUGCAAUGACGCUGACAUUAAUCCCAGCUCUAUGAGGCCUUAUAUUUAAGGUCUUGGAUUAAACUUUGUUUCCAACACAUAUAUAUCUGAGCUUCGCC
rnacentral:snoRNA from 1 species